rnacentral:rRNA from 1 species
UACGAAGGGGGCUAGCGUUGUUCGGAAUUACUGGGCGUAAAGGGCGCGUAGGCGGUACUUCAAGUCAGGCGUGAAAGCCCCCGGGCUCAACCUGGGAACCGCGCUUGAGACUGGAGAACUAGAGUUCGGGAGAGGAUGGUGGAAUUCCCAGUGUAGAGGUGAAAUUCGUAGAUAUUGGGAAGAACACCGAUGGCGAAGGCAGCCAUCUGGACCGACACUGACGCUGAGGCGCGAAAGCGUGGGGAGCAAACAGG